rnacentral:misc_RNA from 1 species
GUGCCAUUUGGGGUGGAGUUAGGCUUAAUCCUUUUUAUCAACAUGAUACCAUGUUAAGUCCCACAUCGGCUAGGUAUUUGGCAAAAGUGCUUCUUAAUGACUUGGGCAAUCCUCUCCUUACAAAGUGCCUUUUUGGGAUAGAGUUAAGCUUGGUUCAUUUUAUUAAUUUGUUGUCAGGGUGAACCUUAGUCUCGAUAUUGGGCCAUCCGUUGAUGUCUAGUCUUACAAACUUCAUGCUCCCGAUGUCUAAUCUUGGGCAUGAAGGAGGUCUGUUAAGUCCCACAUCGGCUGGGUAUUGGGCAAAAGUGAUUCUUAUAUGACUUGGGCAGUCCUCCCCCCACAAGGUGCCUUUAGAGUAGAAUUAAGGCCGGUCCAUUUUAUUGGCGCUAGUAAAUUGUGACCAUGAUAUAAACGUUGGGGCGUCCU